ensembl:lncRNA APCDD1L-DT APCDD1L divergent transcript
AGAAGCGAGGCAGCCGUGAGGCGGAGGACAGGCUGGGGGAUCCCAAAGGGUGCGCUCCAGCCCCCAACCCAGGCACUGGGACUCUGGUGGCACCCUGGGUGGCAGGCAAGCCUUGAAAUCAAGUGCACGAGCCUUGGAAAGGAGGACCGGGAGAGUUAUGGCAUUUAUGAAUGAAGAAGAGAAAGAGAAUCACUCGGAUGGGAAAAGUUAACUGGAUUGUUCCCACCUGCAUGGAUCACCGGGAUGAAGCUGUGCCACCCUGUAGGAAUUAGAAGACCAUGUCCAGGAAUUGAGCACUGGGUGCAGGAUCCAGUCUUCUGAGGCCCUGAAACCACAUGGUGAGAAGUUGAAGGUCACACAGCUGAAGCAACUUAGCCGUCUCGCCUUGCGGCCUGGAACCCCUGGCAAUUUCCGGAGCACCGGCAAGAGACUUUUGCACAGUUUCUGCUUGGAGUCUACCGACUGUCUGUCUCAGAGGUCUGGACAGCUGCUUGUUACAUUUGGCUCACGCUAGCUUAAAAAAGGAAUUUAUGGACCUUACUGCAGAACGUCCCAAUUCUUCAGGC